rnacentral:tRNA from 1 species
GAAAAAUAAGCUAACCCCCCAAGCUAUUGGAUUCAUAAUCCAAAUAUAGAUUUAUUCUUUUUUCUAA